AAUAUCAAUUAGGUAAGACUCCCCUCCUUCCACCUGAGUGUCUUAAUAGCCCCAACCUCAGUCCUCCACUCGCAGUUGUGAUAAUAUAUUCUAACCACUUCUGGCUAGCACCUCUCUGCUCACCGUUUAUUAUUCAGGUUUGGAGGAAUCCAAGAAUUCUGGUAGGUCCAUCUCUAGCCCUAGAGGAAGUGUUGCCUGGUCGCUCUGUGGCUCUACCGGCUGAUGGGAUUUUACCUUUGAUUGCUGGGUAGGGGAGUCCACACCGGAGUCCCUCAACUAGACUCCUGCUGCCUGUGGCUUCAGCCCAUGCCAGCUCAGCAAUUCACCAUCUCCAAGUCACCUCAGCUCUGUCUGCUGCCUCAAAGCCAUCCACCACCUGCAAGCCACCUUGGUGCUGAGUCUUUAGAAAGGGAUCAGCAGUAUAAAGGACUCUGAACAGAGUUCUUACCAUCAGGAGCCAGAAUGUUCCUUCAAAUGCCAUUCUGCAAAUGGAGAUAAUAAAAUCAUGGAAAGGGUGCACUAGACUCUGGGCUGCAAGGCACUAUUUAUAUGCAAGGAAGACCCCUGCCAGAAUGGCUCAGUUUACAAGAUGACUUUUCCAAAUGCCAGCCCUUGCUGACUUGAGUCAGAUCCAAAGAUCAGGCUGUGAUCCACUGCAGAUGUAGAUUCUUCAGCUAGAACUGAACACGAUUUACUGUUGCUGCUGUACAAAGUGGAGUGGAAUCCAGCUCAUUCUUCAACAGUUACGUUGACUUUUGGAUGUUCACAAUGUUUAAGAAAGACCUGCUUGUGUAAGGAAAAGAGGCAGGUGUUACUGCAACACAGUGGGAGCAGAUGUAUUGAGUGAGACAGUUUGACAUAAGCACUUUUGAUUAACAAUUCAUUUGUAAAUAAAGGCACUUAUGAAUCCUAAAAACAAUAUAGAAAUCAAUAGCAAGAACAAUUAAAGAGUCCUCAAACAAAGAGAGGCAGAUCUUCAGCUGAUGUAAAUCAGAGUCACUCCAUCUGAAGUCAAUGGACUCAAGCUAUCGAUCUGGCCUAUAAAAUCUUAAUAGAGCACACUCCUCAGGCAACCUUCACCAGCAAGGAAUCACAGCUGGAAUUCUAAACUGUGCUUCCCAGGGGUGAGGACCCCCCUCUUCCCAAAGCAGCUUCCCUAGGAGUGUGAUACAAGUGUCUGCCAGGAGCCCCCUGCCUUGUGGGAGUGAAAUCUUACUACAUUCCUGACUAUACACAGUUUAAUAAAGCCAAACAAUGCAAGUUCAAUCUAAGAGCCAAAACACACCUUUUCCAGUCUUCCCUUCAUUCAUUUCAUGACAGUGAUGAGUUCCCUAUAGCCUGUAACUUUUU